rnacentral:rRNA from 1 species
GAUGGACGCUAGCUACAGGCUUAACACAUGCAAGUCGAGGGGGCAGCGGGAUUGAAGCUUGCUUCAAUUGCCGGCGACCGGCGCACGGGUGAGUAACGCGUAUCCAACCUUCCGUACACUCGAGGGAUAGCCUUUCGAAAGAAAGAUUAAUACCUGAUGGUAUCUUAAGCACACAUGUAAUUAAGAUUAAAGAUUUAUCGGUGUACGAUGGGGAUGCGUUCCAUUAGGUAGUAGGCGGGGUAACGGCCCACCUAGCCAACGAUGGAUAGGGGUUCUGAGAGGAAGGUCCCCCACAUUGGAACUGAGACACGGUCCAAACUCCUACGGGAGGCAGCAGUGAGGAAUAUUGGUCAAUGGACGAGAGUCUGAACCAGCCAAGUAGCGUGAAGGAUGAAGGUCCUACGGAUUAGUAAACUUCUUUUAUAAGGGAAUAAACCCUCCCACGUGUGGGAGCUUGUAUGUACCUUAUGAAUAAGCAUCGGCUAACUCCGUGCCAGCAGCCG